GCAGGUGUGCUUCGCUUGCUUUGGUGCGACAACGAUUCAAGAAGGACACGAAUACUGCGUUUUUCCGCUACCCACUCGAUGACAGGUAUAAGCACUCAACCGAUAUCUGCUUCAGAAUAGCAUCUGCAUGGAUACAGUAGAAUGGAUAAGCCACCCAGAGUGAUUGGAGCAUCAUCUUUCGACAUAGCAGCUGCUCAAGUUCCUUUGUGGCGGGUCAACCAGGCGCCUACAGAAGCAGCAAAGGGAUAUGGACAUGUUCUCUGUCAUGCCGGAUCUCUGAAUGUGUGUGCCUGUGCAGCCAAUAUACUGUUGUUCUACUGUGAAAUCUUCCACGUGAGACAUCAGCAUCAGUGAAUGCAAAGUUGCUUCGGCAUAUCAUUCGAACUUCAGAAACAAUGUUCAUAUCAUGUUCGUGUUUUGCACAGCUACAGCAGGCUGCAGUUUGUGAUUUGGAAAUAUCUAUCUCGAAAAAUAAAGCAGUUUGUGUAACAGAAACA